AACGAACGCUGGCGGCAGGCCUAACACAUGCAAGUCGAGCGCACCUUCGGGUGAGCGGCGGACGGGUUAGUAACGCGUGGGAAUAUACCCUUUAGUACGGAAUAGCCUCGGGAAACUGAGAGUAAUACCGUAUACGCCCUUCGGGGGAAAGAUUUAUCGCUAAAGGAUUAGCCCGCGUUGGAUUAGGUAGUUGGUGGGGUAAAAGCCUACCAAGCCGACGAUCCAUAGCUGGUUUGAGAGGAUGAUCAGCAACACUGGGACUGAGACACGGCCCAG
rnacentral:rRNA from 1 species